UUGCAAGUUUUCUAUUUUGACGUUUUGUUUAGGUAGGCAAGGGGGAAACGCUACUGGGGGGGAGUUCGAUUUACAUAUUACUGAAAUCGGUAUAAAAGGCAACAAAAGCCAAAGACACAGCCUAAGCCGGACAAACGUCAUUCAACAUCAUCGUCGUCUUCAUUUGAAUCAAUUAAACCAGUUUGGCUCUACGACUGUGGGUAUAUGUGCAUACAGAUAUGUAACCCAUGCAAAGUGCAAGUGGGUGGCGCCCGUUUAGAGAACUUUGGCGACAACAACCAGAAACAACUGGAUCAACAACACAGCAACUAACAACACAAUGGGAAUACUGAGGCAAUAUGCAGUAAUAAGCAAUAAAUGGAAAUAAAGGUCAAGUUUAAGUGACGGCGAUGACGAGAGAGGCAAAAAAAAAACAGAACUACAGAUGUAAUGGUAAAUAAACGAAUAAAAACUA